rnacentral:rRNA from 1 species
AUUGAACGCUGGCGGCAUGCCUUACACAUGCAAGUCGAACGGUAACAGGUCUUCGGAUGCUGACGAGUGGCGAACGGGUGAGUAAUACAUCGGAACGUGCCUAGUAGUGGGGGAUAACUACUCGAAAGAGUGGCUAAUACCGCAUGAGAUCUACGGAUGAAAGCAGGGGAUCGCAAGACCUUGUGCUACUAGAGCGGCCGAUGGCAGAUUAGGUAGUUGGUGGGAUGAAAGCUUACCAAGCCGACGAUCUGUAGCUGGUCUGAGAGGACGGUCAGCCACACUGGGACUGAGACACGGCCCAGACUCCUACGGGAGGCAGCAGUGGGGAAUUUUGGACAAUGGGCGAAAGCCUGAUCCAGCAAUGCCGCGUGCAGGAUGAAGGCCUUCGGGUUGUAAACUGCUUUUGUACGGAACGAAAAGCCCCGGGUUAAUACCCUGGGGUCAUGACGGUACCGUAAGAAUAAGCACCGGCUAACUACGUGCCAGCAGCCGCAGUAA